rnacentral:rRNA from 1 species
AACGAACGCUGGCGGCAUGCCUAACACAUGCAAGUCGAACGAGACCUUCGGGUCUAGUGGCGCACGGGCGCGUAACGCGUGGGAACCUGCCCUUAGGUUCGGAAUAACUCCCCGAAAGGGGUGCUAAUACCGGAUAAUGUCUUCGGACCAAAGAUUUAUCGCCUUUGGAUGGGCCCGCGUUGGAUUAGCUAGUUGGUAGGGUAAAAGCCUACCAAGGCGACGAUCCAUAGCUGGUCUGAGAGGAUGAUCAGCCACACUGGGACUGAGACACGGCCCAGACUCCUACGGGAGGCAGCAGUGGGGAAUAUUGGACAAUGGGCGAAAGCCUGAUCCAGCAAUGCCGCGUGAGUGAUGAAGGCCUUAGGGUUGUAAAGCCCUUUUACCCGGGAUGAUAAUGACAGUACCGGGAGAAUAAGCUCCGGCUAACUCCGUG